GCAGACACAUUCCAGCCAAUCAGCAGCAGACCCUCCCUCCCAGACCCUCCCACCUCCUGGACAGCUCACAUUGUGAAGCUGCAUUCUUAGUGAGCUGUCCAGGAGGUGGGAGGGUCUGGGAGGGAGGGUCUGCUGCUGAUUGGCUGGAAUGUGUCUG